rnacentral:rRNA from 1 species
GUAGCCGGCCUGAGAGGGCGACCGGCCACACUGGGACUGAGACACGGCCCAGACUCCUACGGGAGGCAGCAGUGGGGAAUAUUGGGCAAUGGAGGRAACUCUGACCCAGCGACGCCGCGUGCGGGAUGAAGGCCUUCGGGUUGUAAACCGCUUUCAGCAAGGAAGAAGCGAAAGUGACGGUACUUGCAGAAGAAGCACCGGCUAACUAUGUGCCAGCAGCCGCGGUAAUACAUAGGGUGCAAGCGUUGUCCGGAAUUAUUGGGCGUAAAGAGCUCGUAGGUGGUUCGUCACGUCGGAUGUGAAAAUCUGGGGCUUAACCCCAGACCUGCAUUCGAUACGGGCGAGCUAGAGUGUGGUAGGGGA